rnacentral:misc_RNA from 1 species
AAUGUUCCUUGAGACCUGCAAGAAACCCGCAAUCAUAUCAAUUGGUAGAAACUAUAAGAGGCUUUCAGAAGGCAAAGAAACGUUUCCGAUGUGGGUAUGGGCUCAAAUUAUGAAUAAAAAAGUGUUCUUAAUGGUACAUUCAACCAUUGUGAAAUUGCUCAAUUGGCAAAUCAAGCAGUACUUGUCAGUUCUCUAAAAGGUCUCAGCUUUUCAGUUUUCACAUGAA